rnacentral:tmRNA from 1 species
CCAGGUGAAGCGGGUCGAGGAUCCAAGGUCAUCUCGUAAACGCUCCUUGGAAACCAACAACUGCCGACUCAAAGCGCAGUUCGUUCGCCCUUGCCGCCUGACGGCAAGUAGCGACGGGUCAGACUGAGAGCGCCUCCGCCUCAGCUCCUGGCCUCAUCUAGGAGGCUUGCUGGUGAGUCCGGGCCACGAGGACUCACCGGGACUUUUCUGUGGCUGAGCCUGUAGGUGACGUGUUCGUGGGAGUGCCUGGGCUGAGAAAACGACAUCACGAACUGCACCCGGAGAAGCCCUGGAACGGCGCCGAAGGACGCGGGUUCGAUUCCCGCCAGCUCCACCG